UUUUUUUUUCAUUCCACACCUCCUCCCUGACACACUCACAGCUCUUAAAAAACGUUUUUAUGAGCGGGUGCAGGCAGCAAUUGGUCGCCAGUGAUCAUGUGCGCGCGCGUUCCGCGUGCCCUCGCGGUCAUGUUUUCCUCACGCGCUCCCUGCAGCAAAGAUAGGAGCCUCCGAGCGCAUGCGCGCCUCCAUGUUCGGUUUUCCGUGGAUCCCAGACUGGUGCAGAGGAAAAUGGAGUCCACGCAUCGCGGCAAAUAAACCAGGGUCUACAUAACUAAAGCAACAGAUUUCCUCCACUGGAUGCAGACAUCCAGAUGUUACAUUGUAUAGUAAAGAUGGAGGCCAUACAGUGUAGAACUGUUUUUACAAAGGCUUUUUUUGGCUCUUUAUGAAUGAACCACUUUAUUAAGGCUGGUUAGUGACUCAACACUGCCACCUACUGGUUAGAACACCGACCUAGCCGCAUUGCACUUAAUUAUCUGUGCAUGGAGGGGCCAUCAUGCAUUUGUCCAAAUUCAACAUACAAAUAUAUUUCCAAAAUGUAAAUAUAUGAGUCAGCAUAUGGGCCACUACUUAAAAAGGGAAUGUUUAAAUUAUGACUUAUAUUGUUGUUGUUUUUUUUGCUUGCUGAUAAAAACCUCAGAGAUGUUUUAGAAGACUGGAGGAAAAUAGAUGAAUCAAACAGCAGGAAUUGGUUUUGUACUGUUUACAUGUUUACAAAAACCCUAAAGGUGUCAUCGCUGUUUGCAUAUCACCGGGGAAAACUAGGAGCUUUGCAUUCUGGUAGCAGUAAAUGUGAUAUACUCGCUACCCCGGACACACUUCUGUCAGAGAGUGGCACUGCACUGCCUAUACAGAAAGCAAUACCCAGUGACUGCAACAUCAGGAAAAAAGAACAUGAGAAACUAGAGAAACACCAGGGCCUCAGAGAAGAGCUUGAGAAAACCUGUAAGGUCAAGGCAUCAGUG